CAUCUGGCUCAGAAGGUCUGUCUGAGACACAAGAUUCCCCCAGGACUACAGGGCAGGGAAUCAAGAGAAGGAUAGAUUUGAGGCUGAGGCCGCUCCUGCUUGUCCACUAUGACGGCCAUGUGGUGCAGUUGAACCGCAAAGUCCCUGUUACCCUUGGCCCUCUGGCACAUCCACUUCUUCAUGGCCUCCAUCAUGAGAAGCUCAGAGUCCAGCAGCCUCAGCACAGCUACGUGAGCCCGGGGGCAGCGCAGGUCCUCCCCGAAGUCCAUCUCGGGACUUUUAAGAGGAAAGUUUGAACCAGGAUUGUAUUCCGACACGAGCGUUGUGUUCUCCCCGCAAGUGAGACAGAAACAAAGUGCUGCAUUGGUCAAAGAUAAAUUACUUCCCUGCCGCAUUUUCAUGUGAAGCAGCACUUCCUCAUUUACAAGUCUCAUUUUACUUUUGAUUCAGAGGUGCUCAAUACUUUCAGCUUCAUCAAAAAACUUUGUUCAGCUUAAUGGUAAAGAAUAGAAAUAUAGGCGGGCUACUGAAUGGCAUCCGUGCCAUGGUAUUUUAACGUGGAAAAUUUGAACAAACGGUGGCGCAACACAUGUCGACAGAUAAUCUAACAGGAGUCACAGGCAUGUAUCCUCUGCAAAGAACUACUUCAUAAGACGCAGCGUAUUACUAAAGCAAAAACUGUGGCAAAAAGGGUUUGGUUAUUUAAAUUAUAUUUAACUGUCAAUUUUUUUUUAAAUUGUCAAUAAACAAGACAAAAAUGAUUCUUUC